AUUCCUGGGGUAUCGGUAAAAUGCGCAGAUAUCAGGAGGAACACCAGUGGCGAAGGCGGCUCCCUGGGCCGAGACUGACGCUCAGAGGCGAAAGCUAGGGGAGCGAACAGGAUUAGAGACCCUGGUAGUCCUAGCCCUAAACGAUGGAUGCUAGGUGUGGGGACGAGGAGUUUCCGUGCCGGAGCAAACGCGAUAAGCAUCCCGCCUGGGGACUACGGCCGCAAGGUUAAAACUCAAACGAAUUGACGGGGGCCCGCACAAGCAGCGGAGCGUGUGGUUUAAUUCGAUGCUACACGAAGAACCUUACCUGGGUUUGACAUGUAGGUGGUAGCGAGGCGAAAGCUGAGCGACCCUUCGGGGAGCCUACACAGGUGCUGCAUGGCUGUCGUCAGCUCGUGCCGUGAGGUGUCGGGUUAAGUCCCGUAACGAGCGCAACCCUUGCUCCUAGUUAUACGUGUCUAGGGGGACUGCCGGCGGGAAGCCGGAGGAAGGUGGGGAUGACGUCAAGUCAGCAUGGCCCUUAUGUCCAGGGCUACACACACGCUACAAUGGCCAGUACAAAGGGUAGCGAAGCCGCGAGGUGGAGCGAAUCUCAGCAAAGCUGGUCGUAGUUCGGAUUGCAGGCUGCAACCCGCCUGCAUGAAGCUGGAGUUGCUAGUAACCGCGCGUCAGCUAUAGUGCGGUGAAUACGUUCCCGGGCCUUGUACACACCGCCCGUCACGUCAUGGGAGUCGGUAACGCCUGAAGGCGGUAGCUUGACCUGAUAAAGGGGAGCGCUGUCGAGGGCGGGACUGGCAACUGGGACGAA
rnacentral:rRNA from 1 species